AGUGGGGAAUUUUGGACAAUGGGCGCAAGCCUGAUCCAGCCAUGCCGCGUGCGGGAAGAAGGCCUUCGGGUUGUAAACCGCUUUCGGCCGGAACGAAAUCGGCGGGGUGAAUAGCCUUGCUGGAUGACGGUACCGGAAGAAGAAGCACCGGCUAACUACGUGCCAGCAGCCGCGGUAAUACGUAGGGUGCGAGCGUUAAUCGGAAUUACUGGGCGUAAAGCGUGCGCAGGCGGUGCGCUAAGCCAGAGGUGAAAUCCCCGGGCUCAACCUGGGAACGGCCUUUGGGACUGGUGCGCUCGAGUGCGGCAGAGGGGGGUGGAAUUCCUGGUGUAGCAGUGAAAUGCGUAGAGAUCAGGAGGAACACCGAUGGCGAAGGCAGCCCCCUGGGCCAGCACUGACGCUCAGGCACGAAAGCGUGGGGAGCAAA
rnacentral:rRNA from 1 species